UCCUGGAAAGGAAGUGGGAUCUUUCCUGUGUUUAGAAGGACACAUGGAAAAUCAGCUAUGUGAGUGAACCUUUCUUUUUAUCUCGCUCCAGCGCCAGCUGCAGAACUCCACCCAGCGGCAGAAGCAGAGCAGUGGGCAGUGGUGGAGGUAGAGCUGGCUCCAGCUCCGUUGACAUCACCCCCUCUAGCGCUGCAGCCAGCGUCCCCUCCCUCAGCAGUAUUGGAGCUGGAGCAAGGGCCAACAUCAGCUCCAGCAGGAGUGGGAGCUUCUGAGCUAGAGUCACCUGGACCAUCAUUUUCUAGUGGGAAGUCCAUCUCCACCUGUGGCUCAUAAGGAGCGUGAGAAGAAGCCCAACCUCACGGCCUUCCCUCCUAAACUGGUGGUGGAGCAGUUGACCAUGAUGGAUGCAACCGUAGAGGUGGACACUAACAGGACCUGCUGCACAGAGUGGCUGUGCCGACUCCAUGAAGUAGAAGAGAAAGAAAGGUGGGCGGGGCCUGACACAUCAGUGUGGGGGGGUCACUGUGUGCAGCCAGAUCCCUGGUAGCCCAACCGGCUGCUCAGGAGGCUCAACAGCUUCAGGACUUAUUAGAUACCUGAUGUGUACUCCACUACAAGGGAGACAGACAAGGCCCGUGGUUGUAGCUGCCACGGGGGAAUGUGCAUCAGAAUGUGGAGUGGGACCAGAGGGGGAUCAGGGUGGUGGAAUAUGCCCUGUUGAGCCACCGUCUGGAGCUUGGAGUUAUCGAGGAUGGGCUGGGUGCAAAUGCCCAUCUCCCUUCCCUGCCAGUAUUGGGUCCAGGGUCAUCCUGUGCUGGGUGCCCACAGUGGACAGAGAAGAAAAGCCAGGGACUCUCACAAGGCUCAGGCCACAUCCUGAGCUUCCUGAGCUCCAGCUCUAAACUGUGACCCCUGUGUGGGACUUUGGGGGCUAUGGACACAGAGCUGGGGUGUGGCAGGGCUGGGUGACACUCUCCCUGUGAGUGUUAGUUUUUGGGUCCUAAAUGUGCCCUUCUGGGACUCCCUGAGAAUCUGUCUCAUCCAGGAGGGGAGAUUUAAAUAGAAGGGGACUGAAGCUAGAGCAAGCGGGGCUCCAGCGCCCCACCUCACAGCUCAUUCUCUUCCCAUCCCCAGGAGUGGGAGAUCCUGAAGAACUUCUCCUCGCCCCACACUGUCAUUUCUGUUCUGCAGAAAACCUCCACAAACCAUCUGAAGAAUACAUGAGGAGAAGUUUCCCUGUGGGAGGGGCCCUCCACGUUUGCCCCCCCGGAGAUCAGCCCCCAGAGGGUGCAGGAGAAGCAGCAGCAGCAGCAGCAGGUGAGUGUGCCUGUGGGGGAGGGUCUCUGUGCUCCCAGCUGGAGGCCUCAAAUCAAGAGAGGAGGGCCCUUCCUCUUGCUGCCACAGUGUCCGAAUCCCCCAGUAGAAGUGACCAGGAGGGCCUGGAAGAGCUGGUGCAGGAUGGGUUUGUUGUGGGGAGGGCCAGGGACCGCACACCCUGUGAUUUGCCAUAAGCCGGCCCUGGGAGGUGAGGAGGAGGAGUGUGGUGUUCUUGGGGUGUGAAGGGAGGAGGAAUUGAGGGGAGGCUGCUAAAGUUCCUAGGCUGCUCCCCUUGGGAACCCUGGCGUGGGCCAGGCUGAGGGUGAGGACUUUUCAGGGGAGGUCCUGUAGGGAGUUGACUUGAGAGUAAGGGCUUAUCCCACCUGCACCCUGAUGUCACAGGGUGUCAUCCCCUAUCUUGGCACUUUCCUCAGUGACCUGCUGAUGUUGUACCUGGUGAUGGGUGAUUAUCUCGAGGUUGGUGAACCUGAGGACCAGGCAGAGAGGACCAAGAUCCUGAUCCUUGUGAUGCGGGAGCCCCCAAACUGAGCUCUGAGCUCUCAGCACUUGGCACAUCUCUCAUGAGAGCCUCGCAGCUGCCCCUGGGAGCUGGGGCAUCAGGCCCAUCUUAGGGAUGAGUGAACAGAGGCUUCACCUGAGCCAUCCAUUCUGGUUCAGAGCUGCCUGAUGGCACAGCUGCGUGAGGUUUUAUCUGAGCUGGACUCAGCCUCUCCCUCCCAUGCUGCCCAUGGAGGGAGAGAGAAGUCGGGCCCCCCCAAGUCAGGCAGCACAUAAGUGGCUGAGCAGCCCCCUCUGCCUGAGGCCUCAGCCUCCAAUCUGUCAUCAGAGAGGGUUGUGCUGCCAGGUCCCUCAGCCUCACCCCCAUGUGCUCCUUCUCUGGAGCCCAGAGCCCGGCCUAGGUCCAAGUCCUGUUUUCUCUGCAUGCCCCGCCCCCUCUGGGGACCUGGCAGUAGUGCAACAUGAGAAGGGGUGGGCAUAGGGGGCUAGUCAGUCUAGGGGUCUUUGUCUGAUGGACUCUGGCUGUCUACCUUCCAGGAAAUGAGAUCAACCUUGAGAAGAGGACUGAGGAAUACCGAGUCAUGAGGGAGAUCCUGCUGCUCCAGGAGGCUGCAAAGAAUUACAAACAGAGCCUGAGGAGUGAUUUGGUGCCUGGCUCCAGGACAUGGAGCUGCUCAACGAGAAUGAGAGCUACAGCCUGUCUUGCCAGCUGGAGCCCCAGACCUAGUUGGCCUGCAGAAUACUCAAGGCCAAGAAGAACCGGCCGUCAUCAAGGUCAGGGCCCCCAGGCCCCAACACCGAGCCCCGUGCCAGUGGCCGGUCACAGCCCCAUCCUCAGCAGUGGGGACACAGCUGGGAUGCUUGCAAUGCACCGGGCCAGCUCCUCCCACCUGAUGGGAAAGGGAGCAUUGUAAGCUGAUUCUUGGGGCCCCCUGGAGCCCAAGAGAGAGGGGACGACCCCACCCCAGCUCCCUGACAUCUCUACCCCAGCACCUACUCACCCAUUGGGGAGGGACAGUGAUUGUUUGUUGUAAAUAAUAAAUGCCAUAUUUGAAUAUUAAAGUUUUGUUCCUUUUACAGCCUAGGAGUUGUGGUGUGCUUCUGUUGUUUUCUGUAGGCAUGUGAGACACAGAAUCUCAUUUCUCCUUGAAUCAAGAACUCUUCCGGGUCAUCAGCUUAUUGUAUGUGGGAGAAGGGAGAAGGGCCAGUCCCUUUCCUGG